rnacentral:tRNA from 1 species
GCGGACGUGGUGGAAUUGGCAGACACGUCGGAUUUAGGUUCCGAUGGUUUAGGCCGUGGGGGUUCGAGUCCCUUCGUCCGCA